rnacentral:rRNA from 1 species
GUGAAAUUGUUGAAAGGGAAACGAUUGAAGCCAGUCGUACCUUCGGGUAAUCAGCCUUUUGGGUGUGAUUUUGUGGAGUGUGAAGAGUUAAACGCCUUCAUGCCUGCAUAUUCGUGCACUUUGGGUGUACUUGCUCGUGUGGUAAGUUAACAUCAAUUUUGGUUAUCAUAAAAUGAUUGGAGGAAUGUAGCUUCGAUCUCGUAUUGAAGUGUUACAGCCUUCGGUAGAUGUGAUGAUCGGGAUUGAGGAUUGCAACGGAUACCCUUCGGGGCUACCUGUCUGGUCUCUGAUUGUUGCUCUGGUGCUGAAAGCUUGCUUAUAGCUAUCAAAGUCGACGGUCAAUAGGUUAGAAUGGGUUAAAUUCGUUAAGGAUGUUGACGUAAUGGCUUUAAACGAC